rnacentral:rRNA from 1 species
UACGUAGGGGGCAAGCGUUGUCCGGAAUUAUUGGGCGUAAAGCGCGCGCAGGCGGCGGUUUAAGUUUGGUGUUUAAGCCCGGGGCUCAACUCCGGUUCGCACUGAAAACUGGAUCGCUUGAGUGCAGGAGAGGGAAGUGGAAUUCCACGUGUAGCGGUGAAAUGCGUAGAGAUGUGGAGGAACACCAGUGGCGAAGGCGACUUCCUGGCCUGUAACUGACGCUGAGGCGCGAAAGCGUGGGGAGCAAACAGG